rfam:Ipomoea nil DNA, scaffold: scaffold1596, cultivar: Tokyo-kokei standard.
GGCUUAUUAGCUCAGUUGGUUAGAGCGUCGUGCUAAUAACGCGAAAGUCAUAGGUUUGAGACCCGUAUGGGCCA